rnacentral:tRNA from 1 species
AAAUUAUUUAAAAAGGUGUUUUGAAAACACCCAUAAGAAGGUUUUUCUAAUAAUUUU